rnacentral:rRNA from 1 species
GACGAACGCUGGCGGCGUGCUUAACACAUGCAAGUCGAACGGAAAGGCCCUGCUUUUGUGGGGUACUCGAGUGGCGAACGGGUGAGUAACACGUGAGUAACCUGCCCUUGACUUUGGGAUAACUUCAGGAAACUGGGGCUAAUACCGGAUAGGAGCUCCUGCUGCAUGGUGGGGUUUGGAAAGUUUCGGCGGUUGGGGAUGGACUCGCGGCUUAUCAGCUUGUUGGUGGGGUAGUGGCUUACCAAGGCUUUGACGGGUAGCCGGCCUGAGAGGGUGACCGGCCACAUUGGGACUGAGAUACGGCCCAGACUCCUACGGGAGGCAGCAGUGGGGAAUAUUGCACAAUGGGCGGAAGCCUGAUGCAGCAACGCCGCGUGCGGGAUGACGGCCUUCGGGUUGUAAACCGCUUUCGCCUGUGACGAAGCGUGAGUGACGGUAAUGGGUAAAGAAGCACCGGCUAACUACGUG